GACGAACGCUGGCGGCGUGCCUAAUACAUGCAAGUCGAACGCACUCUCGUUUAGAUUGACGGAGUUUGCUCCUGAUUGAUAAACAUUUGAGUGAGUGGCGGACGGGUGAGUAACACGUGGGUAACCUGCCCUAAAGUGGGGGAUAACAUUUGGAAACAGAUGCUAAUACCGCAUAAAACCUAACACCGCAUGGUGUAGGGUUGAAAGAUGGUUUCGGCUAUCACUUUAGGAUGGACCCGCGGUGCAUUAGUUAGUUGGUGAGGUAAAGGCUCACCAAGACCGUGAUGCAUAGCCGACCUGAGAGGGUAAUCGGCCACACUGGGACUGAGACACGGCCCAGACUCCUACGGGAGGCAGCAGUAGGGAAUCUUCCACAAUGGACGAAAGUCUGAUGGAGCAACGCCGCGUGAGUGAAGAAGGUGUUCGGAUCGUAAAACUCUGUUGUUGGAGAAGAAUGUAUCUGAUAGUAACUGAUCAGGUAGUGACGGUAUCCAACCAGAAAGCCACGGCUAACUACGUG
rnacentral:rRNA from 1 species